CUGGUGUUCUGAAGUUGAUUUGUUUAUAAUCAAAUGUUUUUAUGUUUAUUCUCCUUAAAACAUAAUAGACGGAGACCAGCUGCGUGGCAGCAGGAGCAAAUGUUUGUUGUGAUGAGGCGUAUACCACCAUCACGAAUGCUGCAAUUGCAGUCACCACCACCACUAAUGGUCCACCACUUCUGCCACCACCAUCAGUUCUGCGAAUGCCACCACCACCACCAAGUCUGCUUCUGCCCUCGCCAUUGACAACGCCACUACCAAGAUCAUUCCUGACACAAAGCCUCCAAGUCCUCAACUGACCAGCUAUUGCAGCUGGAGAAGGAUAGACCCGCAACUUCAAAGCCAGGGCUUGCUGGUCUCCUACAAUAAGAAAAGUGCCUGGGGCCAAUCUGAUGAACGUGUACUUGUAGCACAAUAUUUGGCCACAGUUGUAGAAAUACAGAGACUAACAUGCAGCCACAGGUGGGGCUUUGUCCGCAUUUCCAGAAAGACACAAGAUAGUAUCAGAAAGCCAUGCCAAAUUUAAUGACUGAAGGGUUUGGAGAGCCUGACAAAGAGCCUAGAAAUGUGAUUUAACCCGUACUUCAAUCACAUGAACAGCAGCAGGAGCAAAAACAGCAUCAACCUCACAGGAGAUGUAACGACAGCAUUGACCAACAGCAACAACAACAGCA